AGCGAACGCUGGCGGCAGGCCUAACGCAUGCAAGUCGAACGAACCCUUCGGACUUAGUGGCGGACGGGUGAGUAACACGUGGGAACGUGCCUUUAGGUUCGGAAUAACUCAGGGAAACUUGUGCUAAUACCGAAUGUGCCCUUCGGGGGAAAGAUUUAUCGCCUUUAGAGCGGCCCGCGUCUGAUUAGCUAGUUGGUGAGGUAAAGGCCCACCAAGGCUACGAUCAGUAGCUGGUCUGAGAGGAUGACCAGCCACAUUGGGACUGAGACACGGCCCAAACUCCUACGGGAGGCAGCAGUGGGGAAUCUUGCGCAAUGGGCGAAAGCCUGACGCAGCCAUGCCGCGUGGAUGAUGAAGGUCUUAGGAUUGUAAAAUCCUUUCACCGGUGAAGAUAAUGACUGUAGCCGGAGAAGAAGCCCCGGCUAACUUCGUGCCAGCCGCCGCGGUAACAC
rnacentral:rRNA from 1 species